CCUACGGGUGGCUGCAGUAGGGAAUCUUCCGCAAUGGACGAAAGUCUGACGGAGCAACGCCGCGUGAGCGAAGAAGGUCUUCGGAUCGUAAAGCUCUGUUGUUAGGGAAGAACAAGUACGGGAGGAAAUGACCGUACCUUGACGGUACCUGACGAGGAAGCCACGGCUAACUACGUGCCAGCAGCCGCGGUAAUACGUAGGUGGCAAGCGUUGUCCGGAAUUAUUGGGCGUAAAGCGCGCGCAGGCGGUCUUUUAAGUCUGAUGUGAAAUCUUGCGGCUCAAACGCAAGCGGUCAUUGGAAGUGGGGAGACGUGAGUGGAGAAGAUGAAAGCAGAAUUCCACGUGUAGCGGUGAAAUGCGUAGGGAUGUGGAGGAACACCAGUGGGGAAGGAAGCUUUCUGGUCUGUAACUGACGCUGGGGCGCGAAAGCGUGGGGAGCAAACAGGAUUAGAUACCCGGUAGUC
rnacentral:rRNA from 1 species